rnacentral:lncRNA from 1 species
GGCUCUAAUUGUGCAGAGAGGAAGAAAACACCAAGAGAAGAAAACUCCCAACAAGAUUUUUAAAAAUUCUCUUAAAAUGAACCGAAGAUGCAAUUCAGCAGAACAGAGAAGCCUGGGGAAAAACCCGUUCUGAAGUCACAGCAGUAGAAAACUGUGAGCUAAAUUAAGAUAAAAUGAAAAAACAGGGAGUGACAAAAAAUAUUGCAGACAUCAUGAAGAUUAUCCACUCAUCUUGAAGAUUAACAGGUGAAGGUGAAUCUGCACUGUAGACUCAAAGGGGAAAAACAAGGCUCCCUUUUGGCCAGCUCAAGGGAAAAGGUAGGUAGCUUUGCAGCCUCCUUCUCUCAGUCUGGUCCUGUUCCACAUUUUCUCCCUGGAAAUUGCAGGGGCAAUAUCAUCAUGAUCUCCAUUUCAUGACAUCUCCUCCAAAUAUUCGCUUCAUGAUAUUCCCACCAGAAAAUGAGAUUUAUCUAGAACUUGAAGAUGAUUGAGACAGAGAGUUUGGGGCUCUUUGGAGGCUUUUGGGUUUUUCUGAGCUAGAGUGCUA